rnacentral:rRNA from 1 species
GCGGUGCGCCUUAUGCAUGCAAGUCGAACGGGGUUACGAUUUUCGGAUUGUAAUCUAGUGGCGAACGGCUGAGUAACACGUAAGUAACCUGUCUUUGAGUGGGAAAUAACCUGCCGAAAGGCAAGCUAAUGUCCCAUGUGGUGACCAAGCCCAAGUUUGGUCAUUAAAGCCUUCGGGUGCUCGAAGAGGGGCUUGCGUCCGAUUAGCUUGUUGGUGGGGUAAUGGCCUACCAAGGCAGUGAUCGGUAGCUGGUCUGAGAGGAUGGUCAGCCAGAUGGGGACUGAGACACGGCCCCAACUCCUACGGGAGGCAGCAGCAAGGAAUCUUGGGCAAUGGGCGGAAGCUUGACCCAGCGACACCGCGUGAGGGAUGAAGGCCUUCGGGUUGUAAACCUCUUUUCUUGGGGAAGAAUUAUGACGGUACCCAAUAAGGAAGUCUCGGCUCACUCCGUGCCAGCAGCCGCGGUAAGACGGGGGAGGCAAGCAUUGUCCGGAAUUAUUGGGCGUAAAGAGCGCGUAGGUGGUUUUUCAAGUCAUGUGUGAAAACUACAGGCUUAACCUGUAGAUUGCAUAUGAAACUGGAAAACUCGAGUACAGCAGAGGAAAGUGGAAUUCCUGGUGUAGCGGUGAAAUGUGCAGAUAUCAGGAAGAACACCGGUGGCGAAGGCGGCUUUCUGGGCUGUUACUGACACUGGAGGCGCGAAAGCUAGGGGAGCGAACAGGAUUAGAUACCCUGGUAGUCCUAGCCGUAAACGAUGGACACUANGGUGUGGGAAGUUAUCGNACGCUUUCUGUGCC